AACGAACGCUGGCGGCAUGCCUAACACAUGCAAGUCGAACGAGACCUUCGGGUCUAGUGGCGCACGGGUGCGUAACGCGUGGGAAUCUGCCCUUGGGUUCGGAAUAACAGUUGGAAACGACUGCUAAUACCGGAUGAUGACGUAAGUCCAAAGAUUGAUCGCCCAGGGAUGAGCCCGCGUAGGAUUAGCUAGUUGGUGGGGUAAAGGCCUACCAAGGCGACGAUCCUUAGCUGGUCUGAGAGGAUGAUCAGCCACACUGGGACUGAGACACGGCCCAGACUCCUACGGGAGGCAGCAGUGGGGAAUAUUGGACAAUGGGCGAAAGCCUGAUCCAGCAAUGCCGCGUGAGUGAUGAAGGCCUUAGGGUUGUAAAGCUCUUUUACCCGGGAUGAUAAUGACAGUACCGGGAGAAUAAGCCCCGGCUAACUCCGUG
rnacentral:rRNA from 1 species